rnacentral:lncRNA from 1 species
UUUCCUCUUCACGUUUUUACGAGCUCCAAGCGCUCCAAACUCUUUUUUAUUUUUAUUUUAUUUUAUUUUCCACUCAGUUGAAGUGUUGCGGUGCAGGACUUCCUUGCUUCUCUUAUUCCUGGUUUUAUCUUUGUAUGUGAUUUCAUCAAGUGGGCGCUAGUGUGCGUGCUUCCACGUUCUUUUGACUAGAGUGGGCUUCCGAAGGGUCUGCCACUGUUGCGGCUAAUGCAACAUUCUGGAGGUGCCGACAUUCAAGAGGAGGCGAUGUCCUCCCGUGUUUGACGGGAUGCUGGUGCAGUCGGUAAGCUGAACAAGUAGAAAUCGCUUCUACGGCUCAUUUGCAAAGGCGGCGACGUCCAAUCGAAGGUUGAUCAGGGUUCUGAUUUCGGUGCUGAUUGAAGGGGCUGGGAAUUGAUUUUACAAGGUGGGACAGAAGCCCUUAUGGUACUGUCCACCUUGGAGAUGGCUGUCGACUCUUCUUCAAUGGUCUAGGAGUUCCACGUGCACAGUGGCGAAUAGAAGAAGCGUGGAGACUUGCUGAUUCAAUUUAGAUUUGCUGGAUCGUUCAAGCUGUGUCGGUGAAACAUUGUGCAUUGCCAUGCGGUUCUGGCCUCCUUGUUGGUGUUCAUUUUUUUUCCUUGCUUGGUUGCUGUUCUGCAGCUGUGGAGAUGAACCACUACCUGUCUACGGCCAGUGUUUGUGUGGACGUAAAGCGUAGAGUCGCGGUAUAGUGAUGCACAAAUCAUGGUGUUGGCGCAAUCCCCUAGGUUGACAAAAGCUCCUCACCUUCAUCUGAUUCCCAUUCAUUAGUAUUUUGGCUUCGUUCUCGCAUUACUGUCUAGAGAAUUCUGUGAAGUCUUCUUCCCCGAAGGCUUCUUUUGGAGUAGCCAUCGAUCUAUUUCAAGUUGGCCCUUUGCUGUGCACUGAUUUUAGAUUCCUUUUCCGACACUUGGACUAGUUCAAAUUCCGAGUCUUGGAAGUCAGCACCAUCUUUAACAAUUCUAGGCUAUCUAGCUCCACCGACAAAGUUGUACACAGCUUGCCUCCCUGCUUAAUACCCGAAGGCUGAUCGAUGACGUAUGCAUACGACUUUUGUCGAGGCUUCCAAAGCCUUCUCUGCAGAUCGGUGAUGACCUGCGAGACGAGUGUAAGCCUUUGGUGAGGCUCAAGUUAGGCGACGGAUGCUGCAAAGUGGUUGUUAACGGAUAUGCAAUUCCAAAAUUUUGAGUUUUGUUGACCAUGGUCUUGGGCCGAAGCUUGUUGCUCUUCGUUAGAAGCUAGGAUCUAGAAGAAGAAUAGAAUUAGAAGUAGAUAGGCACGUAUGAAUUAUAGAAUCCACCAAAGAUUUUCUAUGUCAAGAGUCAAUAUCAGCCUAAGUUUACAAGUUAAACACCCCCCUGUUAAACAACUUCGAAGUAGUUAAGAAUCUUGGUUGGAUGAACAAAGAUAACUGGAUGAAGUUAGGUCAAUGUGGAUGAGCUUUUAAAUUGGAUGUAUUAGGAUUUGAAGUAGAUGAUAAAUUAUGGAUGAAGGUUGAUUGAAAUUUAAUGAAUUUUUAUUUAUAGAUGAAAAAUUAUUUAUGGAUGAAAACUUAUAUUUGG